rnacentral:tRNA from 1 species
GAGGGUAUAGCUCAGUUGUAGAGUGCAUGCUUAGCAUGCAUGAGGCCCUGGGAUCAAUCCCCAGUACCUCCA